GGGGAUGUGGGGAUGUCUAAGAGGGGACGUGGGGAUGUCUAAGAGGGGACGUGGGGAGGACGUGGGGAUGUCUAAGAGGGGAAGUGGGGAGGGCGUGGGGAUGUCUAAGAGGGGACGUGGGGAGGACAUGGGGAUGUCUAAGAGGGGACGUGGGGAUGUCUAAGAGGGGACGUGGGGAUGUCUAAGAGGGGACGUGGGGAUGUCUAAGAGGGGACGUGGGGAUGUCUAAGAGGGGACGUGGGGAUGUCUAAGAGGGGACGUGGGGACGACGUGGGGAUGUCUAAGAGGGGACGUGGGGAUGUCUAAGAGGGGACGUGGGGAUGUCUAAGAGGGGACGUGGGGAGGACGUGGGGAUGUCUAAGAGGGGACGUGGGGAUGUCUAAGAGGGGACGUAUGGAUGUCUAAGAGUGGACGUAGGGAUGUCUAAGAGGGGACGUGGGGACGUCUAAGAGGGGAAAUGGGGAUGUCUAAGAGGGGACGUGGGGAUGACGUGUGGAUGUCUAAGAGGGGACGUGUGGAUGUCUAAGAGGGACGUGGGGAUGUCUAAGAGGGACGUGGGGAUGUCUAAGAGAAGACGUGGGGAUGGCUAAGAGGGGACGUGGGGAGGAUGUGGGGAUUUCUAAGAGGGGACGUGGGGAUGACGUGGGGAUGUCUAAGAAGGGACGUGGGGACGACGUGGGGAUGUCUAAGAGGGGACGUGGGGAUGACUAAGAAGGGACGUGGGGAUGACUAAGAGGGGACGUGGGGAUGACUAAGAGGGGACGUGGGGAUGUCUAAGAGGGGACGUGGGGAGGACGUGGGGAUGUCUAAGAUGGGGAAGUGGGGAGGACGUGGGGAUGUCUAAGAGGGGACGUGGGGAUGUCUAAGAGGGGACGUGGGGAUGUCUAAGAGGGGACGUGGGGAUGUCUAAGAGGGGACGUGGGGAUGUCUAAGAGGGGACGUGGGGAUGUCUAAGAGGGGACGUGGGGAGGACGUGGGGAUGUCUAAGAGGGGACGUGGGGAGGACGUGGGGAUGUCUAAGAGGGGACGUGGGGAGGACGUGGGGAUUCUAAGAGGGGACGUGGGGAUGUCUAAGAGGGGAUGUGGGGAGGAUGUGGGGAUGUCUAAGAGGGGACGUGGGGAGGACGUGGGGAUGUCUAAGAGGGGACGUGGGGAGGACGUGGGGAUGUCUAAGAGGGGACGUGGGGAUGUCUAAGAGGGGACGUGGGGAUGUCUAAGAGGGGACGUGGGGAGGACGUGGGGAUGUCUAAGAGGGGACGUGGGGAUGUCUAAGAGGGGACGUGGGGAUGUCUAAAUGGUGACGCGGAGAUGUCUAAGAGUGUACGUGGGGAGGACGUGGGGAUGUCUAAGAGGGGACGUGGGGAUGGCUAAGAGGGGACGUGGG
ensembl:lncRNA